rnacentral:rRNA from 1 species
GAUGAACGCUGGCGGCGUGCCUAAUACAUGCAAGUCGAGCGAACAGAUGAGGAGCUUGCUCCUCUGACGUUAGCGGCGGACGGGUGAGUAACACGUGGAUAACCUACCUAUAAGACUGGGAUAACUUCGGGAAACCGGAGCUAAUACCGGAUAAUAUAUUGAACCGCAUGGUUCAAUAGUGAAAGACGGUUUUGCUGUCACUUAUAGAUGGAUCCGCGCCGCAUUAGCUAGUUGGUAAGGUAACGGCUUACCAAGGCAACGAUGCGUAGCCGACCUGAGAGGGUGAUCGGCCACACGGGAACUGAGCCGCGGUCCAGACUCCUCCGGGAGGCAGCAGUAGGGAAUCUUCGGCAAGGGGCGAAAGCCUGACGGAGCAACGCCGGGUGAGUGAUGAAGGUCUUAGGAUCGAAAAACUCUGUUAUUGGGGAAGAACAAAUGUGUAAGUAACUAUGCACUUCUUGAGGGUACCUAAUAAGAAAGCCCCGGCUAACUACGUG